CCAAGGCUCCACCAACCGUUGGCAAUCGGCAGUGCCUACAUUCAUCUGAAUCUGCUGCCACGAUUCAUCUCUACAAACUUUCUGUUCCCUACAAAGAAGCAUUCUCUCUCUCCUGUCUCUCUCUCUUCAUACAACACCAUGAAGGCUUUGAAGAAGGUGAAGGAUUCUCCCUCUCGUAAUGGAAACCACAAUUUCAGGCGAUUCUUCUCCUCACUCACCCGCUUCGUGCAUCUUCGUCUUCACUCUCCUUUUUCCCGAUUAUUCUUCCAUUCAUCUAUUCAAUUUUCUGUUUCCGCGCCGCGGAUCGAUGAUUUUGACCUCAGAAUAAAAGCUACUGCACAUAGCUAUACGAGAUGAAGUGAUAAUCCUCUUCCCUUUCAAUAAGCUAUGGAUUCAUUAAGCUCAAAGGGGGUGUGGAGAAGAAGAUAUGAGCCUUUUGAUAAAUGGAACGUAGCGGUAGGGAAGGAUCUGAACUGAAUUCCAAUGAUGGAAGUAUUGUCUAAUAUGUCUCCCAUGAGACUUCUCCCCCGCCUUUCAUGGAACCUUGAGCAUUCUCUUUGUCUAUAUAAAUGAUAGAAUGAAGAUGGUUAAAGAAGACAAACACAGAAGAUAAAUACUCUAAAAAAUGAGGUCUACAGAUACACCGCAUCUUCCGUAACUCUACGAUCAAAAGAUGCCAAAUCCCACGAUAUUUACACUUUCUGGUUCAUAAGAUCAAUGCUCUUCAUAGAGAGGGAGGUACACACAAGAAAAUGAGUUGGGCAUGGGAAAAUCAUCCAGGUUUCGUGUAUUAUGAUAUAAGACUGACAUUUGGCCAGGAAGAUUACCUUGACUUCAGAAAUUGAAUUCAACAACUGGUGAGGUUCCUCUUUUGCUUUGUUAUACCUUUCAAUCACCGACUUCAUACUGCAUAAAAUCAGCAUAAAUAUCAGAAAUUGCAA